CAGCCGCCGCGGUAAAACGUAGGGUGCAAGCGUUGAUCGGAAUUACUGGGCGUAAAGCGCGCGCAGGCGGUUCGUUAAGACAGAUGUGAAAUCCCCGGGCUUAACCUGGGAACUGCAUUUGUGACUGGCGGGCUAGAGUAUGGCAGAGGGGGGUAGAAUUCCACGUGUAGCAGUGAAAUGCGUAGAGAUGUGGAGGAAUACCGAUGGCGAAGGCAGCCCCCUGGGCCAAUACUGACGCUCAUGCACGAAAGCGUGGGGAGCAAACAGGAUUAGAUACCCGAGUAGUCCCUGUCUCUUAUAC
rnacentral:rRNA from 1 species